rnacentral:rRNA from 1 species
UACGUAGGGGGCGAGCGUUGUCCGGAAUCAUUGGGCGUAAAGCGCGUGUAGGCGGCCCGAUAAGUCCGCUGUGAAAGUCCAGGGCUCAACCCUGGGAUGCCGGUGGAUACUGUCGGGCUCGAGUCCGGAAGAGGCGAGUGGAAUUCCUGGUGUAGCGGUGAAAUGCGUAGAUAUCAAGAGGAACACCAGUGGCGAAGGCGAGUCCCUGGACAACACCUGACACUGAGGCACGAAAGCUAGGGGAGCAAACAGG